CUACGUGCCAGCAGCCGCGGUAAUACGUAGGUCCCGAGCGUUGUCCGGAUUUAUUGGGCGUAAAGCGAGCGCAGGCGGUUAGAUAAGUCUGAAGUUAAAGGCUGUGGCUUAACCAUAGUAUGCUUUGGAAACUGUUUAACUUGAGUGCAGAAGGGGAGAGUGGAAUUCCAUGUGUAGCGGUGAAAUGCGUAGAUAUAUGGAGGAACACCGGUGGCGAAAGCGGCUCUCUGGUCUGUAACUGACGCUGAGGCUCGAAAGCGUGGGGAGCAAACAGGAUUAGAUACCCUGGUAGUCCGCACAGUAAACGAUGGAUGCCCGCUGUUGGUACCUGGUAUCAGCGGCUAAGCGAAAGCAUUAAGCAUCCCACCUGGGGAGUACGCCGGCAACGGUGAAACUCAAAGGAAUUGACGGGGGCCCGCACAAGCGGAGGAACAUGUGGUUUAAUUCGAUGAUACGCGAGGAACCUUACCCGGGCUUGAA
rnacentral:rRNA from 1 species